rnacentral:rRNA from 1 species
UACGUAGGGGGCGAGCGUUGUCCGGAAUCAUUGGGCGUAAAGAGCGUGUAGGCGGCUUGGCAAGUCUGACGUGAAAGCCCGCGGCUCAACCGCGGAUUGUCGUUGGAAACUGCCUCGCUAGAGUCCGGAAGAGGAGAGCGGAAUUCCUGGUGUAGCGGUGGAAUGCGCAGAUAUCAGGAAGAACACCCGUGGCGAAGGCGGCUCUCUGGGCCUUACCUGACGCUGAGGCGCGAAAGCUAGGGGAGCAAACAGG